AUACGGAGGGUGCGAGCGUUAAUCGGAAUUACUGGGCGUAAAGCGCGCGUAGGCGGCUAAGUAAGUCGGAUGUGAAAGCCCUGGGCUCAACCUGGGAAUUGCAUUCGAUACUGCUUGGCUAGAGUAUGGUAGAGGGUAGUGGAAUUCCUGGUGUAGCGGUGAAAUGCGUAGAUAUCAGGAGGAACAUCAGUGGCGAAGGCGGCUACCUGGACCAAUACUGACGCUAAGGUGCGAAAGCGUGGGGAGCAAACAGGAUUAGAAACCCCAGUAGUCC
rnacentral:rRNA from 1 species